AAAACCGUCGCUGAACAUCCUCCGGCCGAAAAAAGCACACACAAGCCGGUGUAAAAAUGUAUAUAUAAAAGGUCUAUUUUGAGAUUUCUCUUUUUUUUUUUUCUUCUUCUUUUUUUCUUUUUCUUUUUUUCUUUCUUUCUUUCUUUCUUUCCAUCGUUAACUUCUCUUUUCCAUUAUAUUUCGUCUCCGCAAAUUUACUUCUCCUUAUGUAUUAUUUAAUAAUUCGUCAGAGAUAUAUACAGGGUGUCCUAUCAUUUCUCGUGUCUUGUAUACAUUCGAAUAAAUAUAAUCCUAUUUUAAUGGCAAAUAUGUCGAGGAUAUAAAAGUUUUUCGUCGAUGUCCACGACGUCCUCGAUGUUUACAACGACGACCUCAUCAUACCCCACCACACCCUCCCACCCAUCCCGCCAGUGUGAUGUCGAAUAAUAUAUAAUAACAUGACAUUAAUAUAACGUUUUAAAUAUGACGGUCAUCUUUCGAUUCGAUUUAUUUAUUUUAUUUGUUUUAUUUAUUUUUUAUUUGUUCACUUUAUUUAUUUCGUUAUUGGUUUAUCUGUUAAUGAGCAAAUCCCUUUAGAAUUGGAACGUUGAUCCUUUCUCUAUGAUAUUAAAAUUGAAAUUUACUUUUAGAAUAUAUUAAUACGUAUAUAUAUAUAUAUAUAUAUAUAUAUAUAUAUAUAUUAAUAAAAAAAAAUAUUUUCGAUCAAACAUAGAUAUUUCUCAAUCUUCAAUUUUCUUUCUUUUUUCCUUUUUUUUUUUUUUUUUCUUUUCACCAUAUCAUUCAAUCAUAUCGAAAAUGUUUAAUACGCCUUAUAUAAAAUGCUUCAACCCUUCCUCUGAUAGUCGACAAUAAUAAGAACGACAAUGUGAACAACUACGAGAUCAAAGUGGAAGAGUAAUAGAAAAUCGUAGAAAGAGUUUUAAGUUAAAAGGGAAGAAAAUAAGGACGACAAUGGGGAAAGGCAAAUAUGACCUCCGCGUACAAAAAGAAAAGAAAAGAAAAGAAAAGCAAAGCAAAGCGAAGCAAAGCGAAGCGAAACGAAACGAAGAAAAGAAAAGGAAAGAAAGAAAAAAUGAAAAAGAAAAAGAAAGAAGAAGAAGAAGAAGAAGAAGAAGAAGUAGAAGAAGAAGAAGAAAAAGAAACACGAGCUUAGCGUGUCGCAAAAGUCGCUUAGGUAUUCGUGAGUAAGCGCACGUACGAACCUUAAGAGGAGAGGAAUUCAUCCGCGAGAGUCUAACGGCAUAAAAUCAGUUCUCGUACUCUCGCUUGAAGAGAAUUAUCGUUGUCUCUGUAUGUGUGUAUGUGACACGCGAACAACGACGACGACAACAACGACGACGACGACGGCGACGACGACGACGACGACGACGACGACAACGGCUAUGGGGAUAUAUCGUGACGGUUUUGUAAUCGAAAUUUCUCCUCGCCUCAAAUACAUGUACCUACCUACCAACCUACUCGAUUCGUCCUUCUAGAAAGGCGCAUUAUAACUCCUGCUUUGUGCGAGCAACACCAGAGUACCAGUAGUACCAGCACAAGUAUACCAGUACCACCAGUAAGUGUAACUAGCAACAGUACGAGUAAAACUACAAGUACCAAGUACAAGUACACCUGGUGCAAGUACCAGUAGCAGUACAACUUGAUUUUCGUAACCCAAAGAGAGUGAUGGAAAGAGAGAAAGAGAGAAAGAGAGAGAGAGAGAGAGAGAGAGAGAGAGAGAGAGAGAGAGAGAGAGAUGGAGAUGGAGAAGGUGAACCUAACGAUGCUCGAGUUUUAACUCUACAAAGUACGACCUAAUUUUCUUCAUUAAACUGUCCUUGCCUCUUUCCCUCUCUCUCUCUCUCUCUCUCUAUCUAUCUAUCUAUCUAUCUCUCUUUUACUUUCUCCAUCUCUAUCUCUUACUCUAUCUCUUUCUCAUUUUCAUGUCCUCAUAAAAGUACACAGAUAUUUUUUCCUCUUAUUUCUUCUUCUCUACCUCUACCUCUUUUUCUUCUUUCUCCUCUCUCUCUCUCUCUCUCUCUCUCUCUCUCUCUCUCUCUCUUUUUCUCUUUUACUAUCGUAUAUAAAGUACUGUAAAAUGAAAAAGGAUCGAAAUGGACGAUUUUUCGGAACGUUUCACUGAGAGAAAAGGUACUUUAUACAGGUCACGUAACUUUCUCGUGGUGAGUGCUCACUCGUUCGCUUCGUUCGUUCGCUUGGCGUUAGCCUGUUGCUCGAACCAAAUUAAUUCACACACGGUUACGUCAGUGUGUAUGUGUACGUGUCUAUCUGUGUGUGUGUGCGCGCGCGCGCGCGCGUGUGUGUGUGUAUGUGUAUCCGUCUCUUUCUAUCUGUGUGCGUGUGUAUGCGUGAACGUUUGUGCAUGGGUCACGGAACGGGUCAUAUAAAUAUUAUAUUCGAAUCAUUUUUUCAAAUUGAUUAUAAGGUUUUCCCUUUUUUUCUUUUUUUUUUUUUUUUUUUUUUAUUCAUUCAUUUAUUUUUUCUUUUGUUUUCCUUCGUUUAUUCUCCUUUUUUUUUUUUUUUUCCAUUUUUCCUCAAUUUCUCAAAACCUGAACAAACCGUUUCGAAACAAUUUUUUUACUUGUUUUUUUUUUUAUUGACCUAGGAUAAUUCUGUGCGUUAAUAAACGUGCGGUGUCUAAGUAAGAACGUAAAAAAGAAAAAAAAAAACAAAAAGAGAGAGAGAGAGAGAGAGAAGAAAGAAAAACGAAAUAACGAGAAGAAUAAUUAUUUUACUUUUCAACUUUCGAAUCAGAUGUAAGAAUCAUCUCUAUCGCGAACAGACAAUUUGCAUUAAUAUUGAAUUAAAAUAUUAUAUACCGAUGACGAUGAUGGGUUUUAUUUAUGUUUCUGUCUUCUUCUUUUUCUUUUUUUUUUUUUUACCUUUUUCUUUUUCUCUUUCUUUUUCCUUUCUUUCUUUUCUUCUCUUCUUUAAUAUGCCGAUCGAUAAAUCUAUGCAUUCAUUGGAUUGAGAACGAAAAAAGUUCUCGAUCGAAUUGAAAUUCAGCACCUAUUUACGCUGUCCAAUCCCUUCACUCGUUCUAUUUGCACACUUUCGAAUCUCUACGGAUGUACCUAAUACCUUUACGUACACACACACACACACACACAUACACACACAUGUAUAUAUAUAUAUAUAUAUAUAACACACAUACACACACAAAUUUACGCGUACGCGCAAUAUGUGUCUCCGCGUAAAAUGACGAAAUGUAGUUGGACGUAAGACGAGGCAAAAAAAAAAAAAAAAAGAAAAGGAAAAGAAAAAGAAAAAAAAAGGGAAGGGAGAAUGGACAUCUUCGAAGAUAAGAUUAUAGUUUGCCAAGAAAUAAUACGCACAAAAGUAAUACAUAGAAUGUACGUAAUAAAAACGAAAGUUCAAUGUAAACAAUAGAAAGAAAAAGAAAAAAAAAGAAAAUCAAUAGAAAGCUCCUAAAAAAAAGAAAAAAGGAAUGAAAAAGAAGAGAUAAAUAAAUCCAUCGCAAAGAGAAAAAGAAGAAGGAAAAAAAAAAACAGAGAAAGAGAGAGGGAAAAAAAAGAGGAAAAGUAACUCUACUAGAUAUUUCCAUAUCAGAUAUUACAAUAAAAAUAUCUGAUUGAUUGGAUAUAACCAAUAAAAACAAACAAAAAAAAAAAAAAAAAAAACAAAAAGAAAAAAGCAAAAAAAAAAAAAGAAAAGAAAAGAAAAGAAAAGAAAAACAAAUGGAGAAUAUAAAAAGAUCAUUCGUUAUACAUCGUGAUAGUCUAUGUAAGAUAUGGUUUUAGAUAUUUCAUAUAUAAACGAACAGGAAUGAAUGGUUGGACUAACUCGAACAUAGACUAAUAGCGAAGGUACUUUCUAAUGUGCCAGCUUAUAUGGUCGCCACCACCGAAUGCGGUUCGUGUCUGCGGAUGACAGGAGUUUACAACAGCAAGUGCUUAACGUUCCCAUUUACGAGUCCUACGAGGUGGUUGUUACUAAUUUGUUCGAGCUAUAAUAUAUAACUAUGAGUGUACUAUAAAUUUUACUUCUUGUCAUUACCAACAUAUACCUUUUCUCUCUCUCUCUCUCUCUCUCUCUCUCUCUCUCUCUCUCUCUCUCUCUCUCUCUCUCUCUCUCUCUCUCUCUUUCUUUCAUUCUCUUUUACAGUUAGAAAUAGACUAUGUGAAAUAGAAUGGACAAAUACCAUAAAAUAUCGAUGUAUAUAUAACCAUCGGACUAUGUCAAUAAAUAAUGUCUAUAUAAAUAAAUAAAUAAAUAAUAAUAAUAAUAAUAAUAAUAAUAUUUAUUUAUUAAAUACAAAAUUAUUGACAUUCUGCUGACAUUAGCUACUGACAUUGGCCAAUUCAAUUUAAUAAUGAUUAAUCAUAUAUACGUAACUGG